UGAACGCUGGCGGCGUGCCUAAUACAUGCAAGUCGAGCGAACAGACGAGGAGCUUGCUCCUCUGACGUUAGCGGCGGACGGGUGAGUAACACGUGGAUAACCUACCUAUAAGACUGGGAUAACUUCGGGAAACCGGAGCUAAUACCGGAUAAUAUAUUGAACCGCAUGGUUCAAUAGUGAAAGACGGUUUUGCUGUCACUUAUAGAUGGAUCCGCGCCGCAUUAGCUAGUUGGUAAGGUAACGGCUUACCAAGGCGACGAUGCGUAGCCGACCUGAGAGGGUGAUCGGCCACACUGGAACUGAGACACGGUCCAGACUCCUACGGGAGGCAGCAGUAGGGAAUCUUCCGCAAUGAGCGAAAGCCUGACGGAGCAACGCCGCGUGAGUGAUGAAGGUCUUCGGAUCGUAAAACUCUGUUAUUAGGGAAGAACAAAUGUGUAAGUAACUAUGCACGUCUUGACGGUACCUAAUCAGAAAGCCACGGCUAACUACGUG
rnacentral:rRNA from 1 species